AAGGGAGCGCAGGUGGGAAAGUAAGUCCCUCUUAAAAGUUCGGGGCUCAACCCCGUGAUGGGAGAGAAACUACAUUUCUUGAGUGCAGGAGAGGAAAGCGGAAUUCCUAGUGUAGCGGUGAAAUGCGUAGAUAUUAGGAGGAACACCAGUGGCGAAGGCGGCUUUCUGGACUGUAACUGACACUGAGGCUCGAAAGCCAGGGGAGCGAACGGGAUUAGAUACCCCGGUAGUCCUGGCCGUAAAC
rnacentral:rRNA from 1 species